rnacentral:rRNA from 1 species
GACGAACGCUGGCGGCGUGCUUAACACAUGCAAGUCGAACGGAAAGGCCCUGCUUUUGUGGGGUGCUCGAGUGGCGAACGGGUGAGUAACACGUGAGUAACCUGCCCUUGACUUUGGGAUAACUUCAGGAAACUGGGGCUAAUACCGGAUAGGAGCUCCUGCUGCAUGGUGGGGGUUGGAAAGUUUCGGCGGUUGGGGAUGGACUCGCGGCUUAUCAGCUUGUUGGUGGGGUAGUGGCUUACCAAGGCUUUGACGGGUAGCCGGCCUGAGAGGGUGACCGGCCACAUUGGGACUGAGAUACGGCCCAGACUCCUACGGGAGGCAGCAGUGGGGAAUAUUGAACAAUGGGCGGAAGCCUGAUGCAGCAACGCCGCGUGCGGGAUGACGGCCUUCGGGUUGUAAACCGCUUUCGCCUGUGACGAAGCGUGAGUGAUGGUAAUGGGUAAAGAAGCACCGGCUAACUACGUG